CUUGGUGAUUUUAAUGACAUUAUGUAUUCUCAUGAAAAGGACGGAGGUAACCCAAGACCAAAUGCAAUGAUGUAAGAGUUUUGGAAUUGUUUGGGAGAGUGUGGGUUACAUGAUUUGGGAUAUGUUGGCAACUAUUUCACUUGGAGGAGAGGGGAGAUUAGGGAGAGACUUGAUAGGGUUGUAUGCAAUGUGGAAUGGUCAAAUAAAUUCCCAAAGGUGGGCAUCAUCUAUGAGGAACAUGUGCAUUCUGAUCACUAUCCCUUAAUCCUUGACACAUAA
rnacentral:rRNA from 1 species